AAAAGAACCUGAAACCGUGUACGUACAAGCAGUGGGAGCACGCUUAGGCGUGUGACUGCGUACCUUUUGUAUAAUGGGUCAGCGACUUAUAUUCUGUAGCAAGGUUAACCGAAUAGGGGAGCCGAAGGGAAACCGAGUCUUAACUGGGCGUUAAGUUGCAGGGUAUAGACCCGAAACCCGGUGAUCUAGCCAUGGGCAGGUUGAAGGUUGGGUAACACUAACUGGAGGACCGAACCGACUAAUGUUGAAAAAUUAGCGGAUGACUUGUGGCUGGGGGUGAAAGGCCAAUCAAACCGGGAGAUAGCUGGUUCUCCCCGAAAGCUAUUUAGGUAGCGCCUCGUGAAUUCAUCUCCGGGGGUAGAGCACUGUUUCGGCAAGGGGGUCAUCCCGACUUACCAACCCGAUGCAAACUGCGAAUACCGGAGAAUGUUAUCACGGGAGACACACGGCGGGUGCUAACGUCCGUCGUGAAGAGGGAAACAACCCAGACCGCCAGCUAAGGUCCCAAAGUCAUGGUUAAGUGGGAAACGAUGUGGGAAGGCCCAGACAGCCAGGAUGUUGGCUUAGAAGCAGCCAUCAUUUAAAGAAAGCGUAAUAGCUCACUGGUCGAGUCGGCCUGCGCGGAAGAUGUAACGGGGCUAAACCAUGCAC
rnacentral:rRNA from 1 species